GCUAAUUCAAAAAGUUAUCACAAUAUAAAAUGCAUAAAAUAUCAUUAAAAAACAUAUAUAAAAUCAAUUCUAGUUUUGGUUGUUUAAUUCAAUAAGGUUCAGUGUCCGAAUAUUGACAAAGAUCCAAAAUCAUACCAUAACAGUAAAUUAAGUUCGAUUCAGUUCCUAUAAUGUCAGGAAUUUUUCAGUUCUGAAACUUUGUUCGCUUCGUUUUUGGAUUCAAUUCAGGAAUCCUGAGAACCAUGCAACCCUAAAUAGUAGGAUUUGUUAUUAGUCUAUAAAUACCUAUG
rnacentral:misc_RNA from 1 species